GCAGCGAAUUUUACGCCGCUUGACGAGCCUGGCCAUCCUUACAUGUCAGCAGUAGGCACAAGGCAGAAACAACCACUCUACAGAGAGUUCCAGGUCGUGUAAGUAAAA
rnacentral:lncRNA from 1 species